AUUAAGGCCCCCAUCGAGGACCUUGAUUUGGAGGGACAGAAGCUGCUUCAGAGGAUACAGAGCAGUGAAAGCUUUCCCAAAAAGAACUCAGGCUCAGGCAAUGCGGACCUGCAGAACCUCUUGCCCAAGGUGUCCACCAUGCUGGACCGGCUGCACUCGACACGGCAGCAUCUGCACCAGAUGUGGCAUGUGAGGAAGCUGAAGCUGGACCAGUGCUUCCAGCUGAGGCUGUUUGAACAGGAUGCUGAGAAGAUGUUUGACUGGAUCACACACAACAAAGGCCUGUUUCUAAACAGCUACACGGAGAUUGGGACCAGCCACCCUCAUGCCAUGGAGCUUCAGACGCAGCACAAUCACUUUGCCAUGAACUGUAUGAACGUGUAUGUAAAUAUAAACCGCAUCAUGUCGGUGGCCAAUCGUCUGGUGGAGUCUGGCCACUAUGCCUCGCAGCAGAUCAGGCAGAUCGCGAGUCAGCUGGAGCAGGAGUGGAAGGCGUUUGCGGCAGCCCUGGAUGAGCGGAGCACCUUGCUGGACAUGUCCUCCAUUUUCCACCAGAAGGCUGAAAAGGUCAGUGCCUCGAACCCCCAGCCCACGAGGUGGUAACCAGAAUAGUUCUUCCUCCAUGAAUGUUGGUGUGUGUGCAAACACUCUUGUGUAGCACAUACUGUGAGCUCCGCAUGUGAGCUCUGAAGUCACUUGGCCCUGAGUUUAAAUUCCAGCUCUUUUAGUCCUUGCUGCGUAACCUUAGGCAAGUGACUUAGCCUCUCUGUUUUGUUUUUUCAUUUGUAAAGUAGAAAUAAAAGUACCUGCUUGAGUG
rnacentral:sRNA from 1 species